ACGUUCCAUUGAGGCGAGCGCGUGCUCCGGCGAGCACAUGGGAAACAAGCUGCGAGCCGAGCUUUCUGGCUGCAGAACUGCGGCCUUGGCGGCCCUUCCUCCCGCCAUCCCCGCUCGUUUUGUUUUUUUUGUUUUUGUUUUAAUUCUUCUUCUUCUUAUUCAUCGCCGUGGAUAGUACUUGAUUUUGGGGAGGAAAAUCCCGAUCGAGACCGCGAAUAACUUUGCAAGGCUUCCCCCAACUGUUUUGGAGGGGAACUUGGUCGGGCCUGGGAAGGAUGCGUGGUCUCCAUCUCAUCUCUGGCAAAUUCCGUGGCUGUGGCAUUUUCAGCAUCUUGUUCCUUUCGUUUCAAGGAGAACCAAGGCCGUGGGAUUUAGCAAGCUGAACAGAGAUUCCAGAGAACGUUGGCUGCAGACAAAAAAAAUGCCUUGACCAGGAAAAAGGGGGGGAACAGCGUGUUUUCUGGCAGUUCUUGUUCUCUCCCCCCCCCCUUCUUGAUUUCCUUGAUUCUUGACGUCGGUGAGAGAUUUUUAUUUUGUUUUGUAAGACUGAAGAUGGAUUAUUUUCCCACCAUGAUUGGAGUACGGGGUGGAGAUUUUUUCUGUGAUGGUCAGAUUUCAUUCUGGAAAGCAGCAAAAAGGCGAAUAAUCAGAAUAUGAGGUGUCCCCCACUCUUCCGCACAGCUUGAGUGUCUUCCUGAGGAAUGAUUAGGCAGUGCACCUGUGCAAGCUUUUGUGAGAGGCGAUCCCGAAAACUUCUGAAGUGUGAGAUGUUUUUGUUCCACGUCCUUACACUGCUCAUUAGUGAACCCGGCAGCCUGAGUUUGGAAUCAGAUCUGACGGGGUGAAAUGAAAAACACAGCAGAUGCAGAACGUGGUGUCUGGAAGAAGCGGUUUCGAAUGUUCCUGGAAUUUAGUAGCAGAUCUGGACUCUGCUGUUGACACCAAAGAAGAUCCAACUCGUGAGGCUGCCUUUUGGAUAGUAUUCUUAGAAUAUAUUCAGUUUUUUAAACUAGAAAAAGAAGACCCUUGAAUGGAUGUUUGUGUCAGCCUUUUCAAAAUGAUCAUAAGAGGCAUGUGGAUGGAAUGGACCAGCAACUAUAACAUUUUUAGAGAAAAACAAGAAACAGAAGAAAGAAAGGAUUCCAUUCUGAAGCCAAGGAAAAUGGAAAUAAGCCAGAGAGUGAUUGGCAUAAAAAGGAGAAACAAAAUGGAGCACCUGCGAAUUGUGAUGCAAAUGUUUUGGAGGAGAGAAGAAAAUAGGAAUACGAGGUGCCUUUAAGUCAGUUUUGGAUUCCUGGCAACUGCAUGGUUCCUGCAGUUCUCUCGGCAAAAUUUCAGAAGUGGUUUGCCAUUCGCUCCUCCUUCCUAAGGCUGAGAGAGAGAAAGGAACUGGUCCAAAGCCACCCAGCCAGCUUUCAUGCCUAAGGCAGGACUAGAAGUCACAGUCUCCUGGUGAUUGGCCCAAGGUCACCCAGCCAGCUUUGAUGCCUUAGAUUUUGGAAUAGUGCACAAUGGCCAGAGAAAGUCCCGUUAGAUAAGUGAUGGAAAUGACAUGAUUGAAUCAGAAAGAGUGAUGUAGAGAUGGAACAGUGCUUAGCUGUGCAUAGAGAGCUGGUUUCCUCUUAUUGAAAUUUACCUUGGAGAAUUCCCAGCUAAAGAUACUAAAGGAAUCAAGGACAGAAUUUACCAGUGCAGUGAAGAUCAAGUGUUUUCCAGGCCAGACCCAAACCAAUAAUCUACAUUUUAGGAAAGAGCAACAUUCAAGUGCCAAGGAUGACCGUUGGAUUUCUGAAUGCAAAGUAGUUUGUGAGCAUGUUAAUUGCAACCAUUACUACAAUAAAGCAUAUUAAAAAACCUUGAA